rnacentral:rRNA from 1 species
UACGUAGGGUGCGAGCGUUGUCCGGAAUUACUGGGCGUAAAGAGCUCGUAGGUGGUUUGUCGCGUUGUUCGUGAAAUCUCACGGCUUAACUGUGAGCGUGCGGGCGAUACGGGCAGACUGGAGUACUGCAGGGGAGACUGGAAUUCCUGGUGUAGCGGUGGAAUGCGCAGAUAUCAGGAAGAACACCAACGGCGAAGGCAGCUCGCUGGGACGGAACUGACGCUAAGGCGCGAAAGCGUGGGGAGCGAACAGG